CAUUUGGGGCUUGAACCCAUGACGGGCAUGUUGUUAAGUCGUACGAGUUGACGACUGUACUACGAGACCGGCUUAUCGUUUACCAGGAGAAAAAGAUUGGAGGUUAGAUACGUGCAGCUAUUUCGCCUCCGCAGGAAGUGUUCUUCAGGAGUAUUCCAAGCUGUCCGAAGACACACAAGUCCGAUUCACCUCGUAUGCACCCAGCGGAUUUCAUGCGAAGGAUAUUGAAAAGCCAUCAAAGAAGUGGGCAUGAUGCUACACCGUGCAAGAAAAGUCCUAUUAACCAUCACGUCUAAAGCCUCCUUUUGUUGGCAUCCUGGCUGCUG